GAGCCUGAGAAACGGCUACCACAUCCAAGGAUGGCAGCAGGCGCGCAAAUUACCCAAUCCCGACACGGGGAGGUAGUGACAAUAAAUAACAAUACGGGGUUCUUUAGGAUCUCGUAAUUGGAAUGAGUACAAUUUAAAUCUCUUAACGAGGAACAAUUGGAGGGCAAGUCUGGUGCCAGCAGCCGCGGUAAUUCCAGCUCCAAUAGCGUAUAUUAAAGUUGUUGCAGUUAAAAAGCUCGUAGUUGAAUUUCGGGGUUAGUAGGUUGGUCAUGCCUGGUAUGUACUGGUCUCACUGAUUCCUCCUUCCUUAUGAACCGUAAUGCCAUUAAUUUGGUGUUGCGGGGAAUUUGGACUGUUACUUUGAAAAAAUUAGAGUGUUUAAAGCAGGCUAACGCUUGAAUACAUUAGCAUGGAAUAAUGAAAUAGGACGUUCGAUCUUAUUUUGUUGGUUUCUAGGAUUGACGUAAUGAUUAAUAGGGAUAGUUGGGGGCAUUAGUAUUCAAUUGUCAGAGGUGAAAUUCUUGGAUUUAUUGAAGACUAACUACUGCGAAAGCAUUUGCCAAGGAUGUUUUCAUUAAUCAAGAACGAAAGUUAGGGGAUCGAAGACGAUCAGAUACCGUCGUAGUCUUAACCAUAAACUAUGCCGACUAGGGAUCGGAUGAUGUUAAUUUUUUAAUGACUCAUUCGGCGCCUUACG
rnacentral:rRNA from 1 species